CGGAUCGGAGUCUGNAACCCGACUCCGUGAAGCUGGAUUCGCUAGUAAUCGCGCAUCAGCCAUGGCGCGGUGAAUACGUUCCCGGGCCUUGUACACACCGCCCGUCAAGCCAUGGAAGCCGGGAGUGCCUGAAGUACGCGACCGCAAGGAGCGUCCUAAGGUAAAACCGGUGACUGGGGCUAAGUCGUAACAAGGUACC
rnacentral:rRNA from 1 species